CAAUUUAAUGUCAAAUGCACGUUUCAGUCGACUAAGAAGUAAAUAAACCCAAUUUUCCAAAAUUCCCUGUAAAUUAACACUAUGGGCGCCGAUGAAAAGGAUUUUAAGGAUUUCAAACUCCAACCUAUGAAGUGCGAGUUAAACUUUUUGAGUAAAUCCGAUGGUUCGGCGAUAUUAUCUCAAGGAGACACAGUGGCGCUGGUGAGCGUGAACGGUCCCCUGGAUAUCAAAACUACAAGCCAGAGCAUAGAGAAGUCAACUCUCGAGAUAUUGUACAGUAGCAAAGGUGGCAAACCAUCAGUUGCUGAUAGAUACAAAGAAAAUGUGAUCAGACAAACUUGUGAAAAGGCAAUCUUGGGCAGUCUGUACCCACGCACCGGCAUCACUGUCACCAUACAAGAGCUAGAAGACUUUGGAGGGUUUCUCUCGUGCGCGUUGAACUGCGCGUGCCUAGCGCUGCUCAACUCUGGAGUAGCGAUGCGUCACGUAUUCGCGUGCGUGUCGUGCUCAGUUGACGCGCGAGGGGAGGUGCGGCUGGCCGGGCGGGGGGAGGCGGCCCAGCUCAGCUGCGUCUUCGAUGGGGUUCACAGGAAUUUGAUCACUUACCGGGCUUUAGUUCUUGAACUGCGCGUGCCUAGCGCUGCUCAACUCUGGAGUAGCGAUGCGUCACGUGUUCGCGUGCGUGUCGUGCUCAGUUGACGCGCGAGGGGAGGUGCGGCGGGGCGGGCGGGGGGAGGCGGCCCAGCUCAGCUGCGUCUUCGAUGGGGUUCACAGGAAUUUGAUCACUUGUUUCUCCGAAGGCACGUACAGUGAAGGCACAUACUUCGAAGCGGUGGCCAAGUGUCGCGCAGCCAGCGAGGUCAUCUUUGCAUUCUACAGGGACGUCGUCGCCAAGUACUCCCGCGCUAUAUGACCCGAGAUGAGAAGGGAGGCAGCUGGCAUGUGAGCGAACUUUUGGUGAAGUGCUGGAACUAAAAUGUGAGGAUAGAAUGUUUG